UUGNUUCUCUUGAGAGCGGCGGACGGGUGAGUAAUGCCUAGGAAUCUGCCUGGUAGUGGGGGAUAACGUUCGGAAACGGACGCUAAUACCGCAUACGUCCUACGGGAGAAAGCAGGGGACCUUCGGGCCUUGCGCUAUCAGAUGAGCCUAGGUCGGAUUAGCUAGUUGGUGGGGUAAUGGCUCACCAAGGCGACGAUCCGUAACUGGUCUGAGAGGAUGAUCAGUCACACUGGAACUGAGACACGGUCCAGACUCCUACGGGAGGCAGCAGUGGGGAAUAUUGGACAAUGGGCGAAAGCCUGAUCCAGCCAUGCCGCGUGUGUGAAGAAGGUCUUCGGAUUGUAAAGCACUUUAAGUUGGGAGGAAGGGCCGUUACCUAAUACGUGAUGGUUUUGACGUUACCGACAGAAUAAGCACCGGCUAACUCUGUGCCAGCAGCCGCGGUAAUACAGAGGGUGCAAGCGUUAAUCGGAAUUACUGGGCGUAAAGCGCGCGUAGGUGGUUUGUUAAGUUGGAUGUGAAAUCCCCGGGCUCAACCUGGGAACUGCAUUCAAAACUGACUGACUAGAGUAUGGUAGAGGGUGGUGGAAUUUCCUGUGUAGCGGUGAAAUGCGUAGAUAUAGGAAGGAACACCAGUGGCGAAGGCGACCACCUGGACUGAUACUGACACUGAGGUGCGAAAGCGUGGGGAGCAAACAGGAUUAGAUACCCUGGUAGUCCACGCCGUAAACGAUGUCAACUAGCCGUUGGGAGCCUUGAGCUCUUAGUGGCGCAGCUAACGCAUUAAGUUGACCGCCNGGGGAGUACNGCCGCAAGGUUAAAACUCAAAUGAAUUGACGGGGGCCCGCACAAGCGGNGGAGCAUGNNNUUUAAUUCGAAGCAACGCGAANAACCUUACC
rnacentral:rRNA from 1 species